rnacentral:rRNA from 1 species
UACGCAGGUGGCGAGCGUUGUCCGGAUUUAUUGGGUUUAAAGGGUGCGUAGGCGGUCCUAUAAGUCAGUGGUGAAAUAUCGCAGCUCAACUGUGAGGGUGCCAUUGAUACUGUAGGACUUGAGUGAAUUUGAGGUAGGCGGAAUUGACGGUGUAGCGGUGAAAUGCUUAGAUAUCGUCAAGAACACCGAUAGUGAAGACAGCUUACCAAGCUUCAACUGACGCUGAGGCACGAAAGUGUGGGGAUCAAACAGG